UCGGACGUGGUGUAUGGAACACCGCCGGGUAUUGUAAGUCUCCAGCAGAGCGUGCAAACUGGCAGUUCGGGGUUCGACUCCCCGCGUCCGAA